rnacentral:tRNA from 1 species
CAGAUUGUAGCUUAUAUAAAAGCUUUUCAUUUACAUUGAUUAGAAGAUUAAUGUCUUUUCUGA